CCAAAGUCAGCAAGGCCAGCAGGCCGAACAAGGGAUGUCUGCAGAGGACUGCUGGCGGAGAUUCCUGUGGGGACGGAGAGAGACAAGAACUGCAGGUUCUGAGGAGAAACCCUGAUGAGUAUAUGCAAUGCCCCAGCCAUGGGUGAGACCCUGCCACGGCAGCCUGGACUACUGGCAUGACUGUUGUUUUCCAAGGAUGUGACCUCAUGUGCAACCUACUUCAACAAGGCUGGAGAACUCCAGGAGAAGCAAAGACUGCCCAGCAGUGUGUCCCUGCUACACGGUCAGGACACUCCUUACGGCUGUGAUGCAGGCAUCUAAAAGGAGCCUCACCUCACUG